UCCUGCGCUCAGUAACGGACUCUUCACGCACGCUCUACUUUAUAAUGAGUACAAUUCUAACUCUGGUCAGUGGAGGCGCCAGAGAGACACUGCCGACGGGAGAGGCUGCUCUUUCGUGAUUUUCUUGCUUUUGUCACUUGGUCCUUCAACACAGCUAUGUGGAGACACACGCAGAGCAACAUUCCCAAUAAUUCAGACCAACCCCGACGUAAUUGCCUUAUGUUUAGCUUUCAUACAGCAAUGUUUCGCCUCUAAUCAAUCUAAGACUUGGAAGUAGCAGAAAGAGCUUAAGUUGGAUGGAAGUGGAAGGCUAAACACCAAUACUGAGAUAAAAUCAACUCUUGGAAAUUGAACCAGAAGCAAGUGAUAGAAAUCUACCAUAAAGGCAAAGCAUUUUAUCUGGAGAAUACAAUGUACCAUGAACAAUUGGCUCUUUGCCAUGUGGCACCCUGCCUUGGAACAAGCAAAGUAUGAACCAAAACCUCUACAAAUUGACAGCUAA